rfam:Candidatus Yonathbacteria bacterium RIFCSPHIGHO2_02_FTLL_44_14 rifcsphigho2_02_scaffold_308, whole genome shotgun sequence.
GGCCCCAUCGUCUAUCGGUUAGGACGAAAGCUUUUCAAGCUUUAAAGCGGGGUUCGACUCCCCGUGGGGUCA